AAAGUGGUCAACUAGAAAAGACCCACAGUAAAUCCAACAGGCUGGGGCAGAUGUCCACUCCUCAAUGCAGGGGAAGCAAAUCCGAAGCCUAACCGUUCAUUACAGUAACGGUCCUGGGUUCAUGCAGGAGGCAGGCAUGUCUCAGUCCCAGCUCUGCGCCUUAUCUGGGACCAAGGCCUUCACUUCAUCUCCGUCCAUGCAGACAGACGUCAAACUCCACCUUCUGUGUUCACACAGAAUCCCUGGGGCAGCCACGGCAUCCGUUCAUACACAGGCUACCCUCUGACUUUCAACUUCUCUGCUUCAGAUCCCCAUGCUCCUCAUAGUGUGGUCCAUGGACCAGGAGCCUCAACACAUCUCAGAGAUCGCUGUUAAUGCAG